UACGUAGGGGGCUAGCGUUGUCCGGAAUCAUUGGGCGUAAAGAGCGUGUAGGCGGCUCGGUAAGUCCGCUGUAAAAGUCAAAGGCUCAACCUUUGAAUGUCAGUGGAUACUGCCGGGCUAGAGUCCGGAAGAGGCGAGUGGAACUCCUGGUGUAGCGGUGGAAUGCGCAGGUAUCAGGAAGAACACCAACGGCGAAGGCAGCUCGCUGGGACGGUACUGACGCUGAGACGCGAAAGCGUGGGGAGCGAACAGG
rnacentral:rRNA from 1 species